rnacentral:lncRNA from 1 species
CUGAUGCCUACGUAAUAGAGUUGCUGAAGGAGUGGAAGCAGCUUUGACAUUAUCAGUGGAACCCACCAGUGCAGACUGCUUCAUCCAGGGGCACCUGAGGCAGCAGAUCUGAGGAUUAGGGACGUCGGGAGCUGAAGCGUGGCUGGAGAGGUGGUGCGCACAAGAACCCCCACAUUCCCCGACAGGAGCCUGAAAAAGCCUAGUUUCUUUUGCAGAUACCCUGUGAUUGCCAGCAAGUAAACCAGAUGCAAUUGUGGUUUCCGUGAAGCACAGCUGGAAAACUGCUGCCCCCACGGAGGAAGAGGAAGAUGGGAAGAUAGUGGUUACUGCACACCAGGCACCAGCCUCGGGGCUAUGAGCUGUACAAACAUUACCCAUUUUAUCCUCGUGACCAUGUUCUGAGAAGGCUGUCAAUGAUCUCACUUUAUACAUGGGGAAAUUCAUGCAGACAGAGGCUGACUAAAUUGCCAUGGUCACUCAGCUAGUAGGAACUGGAGCUGUAACUUGAACCCGGGUCUUUUGUUUCUGUGGCUCCUGGUAGCACAUGCCGGGCUUGAAGUGAGAUCCGGAGGAUGUUGGAAACAACGUGUUCCUCAUCAUGAAAGUCCUUAUGAUACCUUAUGAUGCAGAGUUGGCAGCCAGGAGCAGGGGCUUCCAGAAGCAUGGCUGACCCUUGUUGGGAUCUCACUCCUGUGAGCCUUGGAACGUCUAGGGAGAAAGAGCAGCCAAAUUUAGAGCUGCAGGAGCUGUGAGAUGCAGCUCAGGCAUCAUCUCUGGGAAGUCUUUCCUGGAACCACAGCCUGGGCCCUGCACCUGAUUCCCAGCCCCUGUGGCUCUUUUUGCAUUUGCUGCCUCUUUUCACAAUUCUGUCUCCUUUUGUCUUCCACUCUACACGCAAGCCCCUUGAGGGCAGGACCAUGACUCAGUCAUCCUGUACCCUAGCACCCACCCUGGGUCUGCAUCUGGAAGGAGCUCACUAAGUGAUUAUUGAGCCAAACUGAACUGUAGCAGGAGUGAGCAAAGCUAAAUCAUGGGUGCAGAAUGGGAGCACAGAGCUGCCAGAAUCCAGAGACAACUGUAACUGUCCCAGCACAGGGGGCUUCAGGCCGCGGUGAGAGCCACUGAAAGCAAGAGAGUCAGGUGGUGGCUCAGUUCACACUGAGUCCUGCUGAAGAAAUAGGCACAUCGUGUGUGUUAAAAUCAGCACCCCACGCACCUGUAGGAAGAGACUGAGGCACCCUGGAGGCCCCUCCCAAUAAUUAAAAGGCCCUCUGGGGCCUGUGGGAGCCCUAGCUGAUGAAAUCACAAAGGCCUCAGCCUCUAAAGUGUUUCCAGUAAAAUGCUACCAGGAUUUUCCUCCCUUAAAUCUGGAUGAAAGGGCUGUCUGUGCUACAAAAUGCACACCUGGCGUUGAUACGCAGUCUCUUGCUGCCUGUUAACCAACCCACCAGCCGACAAGUUCUGCCCACUGGCAGGGGCAAGGACUUAUAAAAAAUAGUGCCUCCCUCCCAAGGGCUUAUGAGCUGGUUAAGUGCAGAGGACAAAUAGAAUGAAAGAAAAGGCAAUCUCGGCAUAGUAUUCAGUUAAUUCUUCUCUCUCUCUUCUUCCCUCUCUCUCCUUUCUCUCUUCCUCCCUCCUUUCUAUGACUUGUCCUCUCCACACAACUCCUUUUCCGUUUUCCCUCCCCUGCCUCCCCACCUUCUUUCUUGACUUCCCAUCUUGCUCCCUUUCUUCCUGCCUGCCCAUCUGCUUUCCUUUCUUAUCUCUGGUGCAAAUUCUGCAUAUAGUCGCUCUCCUCAUUUCAU